CGAAAGCCCCCUUCGGGGGGCAAGUAGAGUGGCGCACGGGUGAGUAACACGUAGGUAAUCUACCUUUGGAUGGGGAAUAACAACCGGAAACGGUUGCUAAUACCGCAUAAUGCAGCGGCACCUAAUGGUGACAGUUGUUAAAGCGGGGGAUCGCAAGACCUCGCGUCUGAAGAGGAGCCUGCGGCAGAUUAGCUAGUUGGUAAGGUAACGGCUUACCAAGGCGAUGAUCUGUAGCCGGCCUGAGAGGGUGGUCGGCCACACUGACACUGACAUACGGGUCAGACUCCUACGGGAGGCAGCAGUCGGGAAUUUUGGGCAAUGGGCGAAAGCCUGACCCAGCAACGCCGCGUGAAGGAUGAAAUCCCUCGGGAUGUAAACUUCGCAAGAACAGGAAGAAUAAGUGAGAGUUAAUAUCUCUUACGAUGACGGUACUGUUUGUAAGCUCCGGCUAACUCCGUGCCAGCAGCCGCGGUAAUACGGGGGGAGCAAGCGUUGUUCGGAUUUACUGGGCGUAAAGGGCGCGUAGGCGGCCACCGCAAGUCGACUGUGAAAUCUCCGGGCUUAACUCGGAAAGGUCAGCCGAUACUGCGGGGCUAGAGUGCAGAAGGGGCAACUGGAAUUCUCGGUGUAGCGGUGAAAUGCGUAGAUAUCGAGAGGAACACCUGCGGCGAAAGCGGGUUGCUGGGCUGACACUGACGCUGAGGCGCGAAAGCUAGGGGAGCGAACGGGAUUAGAUACCCCGGUAGUCCUAGCCUUAAACGAUGAAUGCUUGGUGUCU
rnacentral:rRNA from 1 species